rnacentral:rRNA from 1 species
GAUGAACGCUGGCGGCGUGCCUAAUACAUGCAAGUCGAGCGAACAGACGCUGAUCUUGCUCCUCGCACGUUAGCGGCGGACGUGUGAGUCACACGUGUAUAACCUCCCUAUCAGACUGGGAUCACUUCGGGAAACCGGAUCUAAUACCGGAUAAUAUAUUGAACCGCAUGGUUCAAUAGUGAAAGACGGUUUUGCUGUCUCUUCUAGAUGGAUCCCCGCCGCAUUAGCUAGUUGGUAAGGUAACGGCUUACCAAGGCAACGAUGCGUAGCCGACCUGAGAGGGUGAUCGGCCACACUGGAACUGAGACACGGUCCAGACUCCUACGGGAGGCAGCAGUAGGGAAUCUUCCGCAAUGGGCGAAAGCCUGACGGAGCAACGCCGCGUGAGUGAUGAAGGUCUUCGGAUCGUAAAACUCUGUUAUUAGGGAAGAACAAAUGUGUAAGUAACUAUGCACGUCUUGACGGUACCUAAUCAGAAAGCCACGGCUAACUACGUG